ACACAUCUCAUCUCAUUGGGACUGGUUAGGAAGUGCCAACGAAUUGGCAGUGGGUGUGGCUCAUGGAGGGUGAGCAGAAGCAGCGUGGGGUGUUGCCUUAUGUGUGAAGCACAGGGAUGAAGGAACUUUCUCCCCUAGCCAAGGGAAGCCCUGAGGGACUGUGCCAUGAGGAAUGGUGCAUUCCGGCCCAGAUACUACACUUUUCCAAUGGUCUUCACAACCCACAGACCAGAGGAUUCCCUGGGGUGCCUACACCACCAUGGCCCUGGGUUUUAAGCACAAAACUGGGCAACAAUUUGGGCAGACACCAUGCUAGCUGGUGGCUGUGGGCACAGCUUCAGCAGACUUAAACGUUCCUGCCUGCCAACUCUGAAAAGAGCAGCAGAUCUCCCAGCAUGGCACUUGAGCUCUGCUAAAGGACAGACUGCCUCCUCAGGUGGGUCCCUGACCCCCAUGCCUCCUGACUGGGAGGCACCUUCCAGAAGGGGUUGACAGACACCUCAUACAGAAGAGCUCCGGCUGACAUCUGGCGGGUGACCCUCUGGGAUGAACUGUUCAGAGGAAUGAACAGGCAGCAUUCUUUGCUGUUCUGCAGCCUCCACUAGUGAUACCCAGGCAAGCAGAGUCUGGAGUGGACCUGCAUCGAACUCCAGCAGACCUGCAGAAGAAGGGCCUGACUGUUAGAAAAAAAAAAAAGCAAAAAGAAAAACUAACAAACAGAAAGGAAUAGCAUCAACGUCAACAAAUAGGACAUCCACACAAAAUCCCCAUUUGAAGGUCACCAACAACAAAGACUAAAGGUAGAUAAAUCCAUGAAGAUGAGGAAAAGCAAGCACAAAAUGUCUGAAAAUUCCAAAAACCAGAAUGCCUCUUCUCCUCCAAAGGAUCACAACUCCUCACCAGCAAGGGAACAAAACUGAUGGGAGAAUGAAUGUAAUGAAUUGGCAGAAGCAGGCUUCAGUAGGUGGGAAUAACAAUCUCCUCCAAGAUAAAGGAGCAUGUUGUAACCCAAUGCAAGGAAGCUAAGAACGCUGACAAAAGGUUAGAGGAAUUGCAAACUAGAAUAACCAGUUUAGAGAAAUAAAUGACCUAAUGGAGCUGAAAAACACAGCACGAGAACUUCAUGAAGCAUACACAAGUAUCUGUAGCUGAAUUGAUCAAGGAGAAGAAAGGAUAUCAGGGAUUGAAGAUCAACUUAAUGAAAUAAAGUGUGAAGACAAGAUUAGAGAAAAAAAAUGAAAAGGAACAAACAGUCUACAAGAAAUAUAGGACUAUGUGAAAAGACCAAACCUACAUUUGAUUGGUGUACCUGAAAGUGAUGGGGAGAAUGGAAACCAAGUUGGAAAAUACUUUUCAGGAUAUUAUCCAGGAGAACUUCCCCAACCUAGCAAGACAGGCCAACAUUCAAAUUCAGGAAAUACAGAGAAUACCACAAAGAUACUCCUUGAGAAGAGCGACCCCGAGACACAUAAUCAUCAGAUUCACUAAUGCUGAAAUGAAGGAAAAAAUGUUAAGGGCAGCCAGAGGGAAAGAUCAGGUUACCCACAAAGGGAGGCCCAUCAGACUAACAGCUGAUCCCUCUGCAGAAACCCUACAAGCCAUAAGAGAGUGGGGGCCAAUAUUCAACAUUCUUAAAGAAAAGAAUUUUCAACUCAGAAUUUCAUAUCUAGCCAAAAUUGAGCUUCAUAAGCGAAGGAGAAAUAAAAUCCUUUACAGACAAGCAAAUGCUGAGAGAUUUUAUCACCACCAGGCCUGCCUUAUAAGAGCUCAUGAAAAAAGCACUAAAUAUGAAAAGGAAAAACCAGUACCAGCCACUGCAAAAAUNNNNNNNNNNAUUAUCCAGGAGAACUUCCCCAGUCUAGCAAGACAAGCUCACAUUCAAAUUCAAGAAAUACAGAGAACACCACAAAGAUACUCCUUAAGAAGAGCAAUGCCAAGAUAUAUAAUUGUCAGAUUCACCAAGGUAGAAAUGAAGGAAAAAAUGUUAAGGGCAGCCAGAGAGAAAGGUUGGGUUACACACAAAGGAAAGCCCAUCAGACUAACAGUGGAUCUCUCUCCAGAAACCCUACAAGCCAGAAAAGAGGGGCAGCCCAUAUUCAGCAUUGUUAAGGAAAAGAAUUUCAACCCACAAUUUCAUAUCCAGCCAAACUAAGCUUCAUAAGAGAAGGAGAAAUAAAAUCCAGAUAAGCAAAUGCUGAGGGAUUUCGUCACCACUAGGCCUGCCUUACAAGAGCUCCUGAAGGAAGCACUAAAUAUGGAAAGGAAAAAGUUGUACCAGCCACUGCAAAAACAUACCAAAUAGUAAAGACAUUCAGCACUAUAAAGAAACUGCAUCAACUAGUGGGCAAAAUAACCAGCUAGCAUCAUAGUGACAGGAUCAAAUUCACACAUAACAAUAUUAACUUUAAAUGUAAAUGGGCUAAAUGCCCCAAUUAAAACACAAAGACUGGCAAAUUGGAUAAGGAGCCAACAUCCAUCAGUGUGCUGUAUUCAGGAGAUCCAUCUCACGUGCAAAGACACACAUAGGUUAUAAAUAAAGAAAUGGAGGACUAUUUACCAAGCAAAAGGAAAGAAAAAAAAAAGGCAGGGGUUGAAAUCCUGGUCUCUGAUAAAACA
rnacentral:lncRNA from 1 species